rnacentral:rRNA from 1 species
AUUGAACGCUGGCUGCAGGCCUAACACAUGCAAGUCGAACGAGUGGCGGACGGGUGAGUAAUGCCUGGGAAACUGCCCGAUGUUGGGGGAUAACAACUUGAAACGGUAGCUAAUACCGCCUACCCUCGGAUGUGUCCUGAUGGGAUUCGCUAGUUGGUGGGGUAACGGCACACCUAGACGACGAUCCCUAGCUGGGCGGAGAGGAUGCAAAGCCACCCUGGAACGGAGACACGGCCCAGACCCCAACGUGAGGAGGCGGGGGGGAAAAGUGCACAAGGGGCGGAGGCUUAAUGCGAACCGGCCGAGUAUAGGGAGAGGGCCUUGGGGUUGGAGUGGUCGUUCAUCGAGGAGGCGGUACUCGAAGAAGAAGCACCGGCUAACUCCGUGCCAGCAGCCGCGGUAAUAC